rnacentral:rRNA from 1 species
GAGUUUGAUCAUGGCUCAGAACGAACGCUGGCGGCAGGCCUAACACAUGCAAGUCGAACGAGCUGGGACCUUCGGGUCCCGAUGCUAGUGGCGCACGGGUGAGUAACACGUGGGAAUCUACCCAAUAGUACGGAAUAACUGAGGGAAACUUUGGCUAAUACCGUAUACGCCCUUCGGGGAAGGAUUUAUCGCUAUUGGAUGAGCCCGCGUCUGAUUAGGUAGUUGGUGAGGUAACGGCUCACCAAGCCGACGAUCAGUAGCUGGUCUGAGAGGAUGAUCAGCCACACUGGGACUGAGACACGGCCCAGACUCCUACGGGAGGGCAGCAGUGGGGAAUAUUGGACAAUGGGCGCAAGCCUGAUCCAGCCAUGCCGCGUGAGUGAAGAAGGCCUUCGGGUUGUU